UGGGGAAUAUUGGACAAUGGGCGAAAGCCUGAUCCAGCAAUGCCGCGUGAGUGAUGAAGGCCCUAGGGUUGUAAAGCUCUUUUACCCGGGAUGAUAAUGACAGUACCGGGAGAAUAAGCUCCGGCUAACUCCGUGCCAGCAGCCGCGGUAAUACGGAGGGAGCUAGCGUUGUUCGGAAUUACUGGGCGUAAAGCGCGCGUAGGCGGUUUUCCAAGUCAGGGGUGAAAGCCCGGGGCUCAACCCCGGAAUAGCCCUUGAAACUGGAAGACUAGAAUCUUGGAGAGGUCAGUGGAAUUCCGAGUGUAGAGGUGAAAUUCGUAGAUAUUCGGAAGAACACCAGUGGCGAAGGCGACUGACUGGACAAGUAUUGACGCUGAGGUGCGAAAGCGUGGGGAGCAAACA
rnacentral:rRNA from 1 species